CUUUCCUGAGCUGGAAUGAGGCCAGGUAGAGUGGUAUGUGAUAUCCUUCUUAUUCCCAUGCAGAUGUCUGUGGCUUCUCUUUCCUUUGGUCAAAUCUGAUUUGUCUUUCUUCUUGGUUAAUACCCCCAGGGUGCUCCAGGCUUCUUCUGCCUG
rfam:Equus caballus chromosome 6, whole genome shotgun sequence.